GUCCUGUCAAAGGUAAGACCUGAUUAUGCUUUAUUAGUAUAAUACUAGUAAAAUGUUUGUUUUAUUUGUUUUAUUUGAUCUUCUAAGCAAUUGAACACAAAAAUGUAUUUUGUGCUUUAAGCGUAGGUUACAAAAUGACUAAAACUACAAAACAGGAACUUUUCUGGAUCAUCUUUUGGUUUGUGUCUGGCUUGUGUCAGUCAGGCAUGUGCUGUUAUAACUGCACAGGUAACUGUACAAAGAUGGUGAUAGUAACACAAAACACCUGCAGUCAACCAGCAUCCCAAUUCUGCUCAACACAGACAAACACCACCUGUCCAUUGCUGUUUGGAAAUUUGUGUGUGUUCUAUGGCAAUAAGAAUUACUCUGGAAAAUGUGAUCUUGUGAACUUUACGGUAGAAUGGAAUGGCAGUGGAUUAAACAUAACUUUACCUCAGACAACUGUACAAAACCUAUCCCUGUGGAUAAUAUCAAAUACAACCUUAAUGCCUACAAAUUGUACAAAUUUCACAGAUAUAAAUACAGGAUCUGUAAUUAAGCCAUAUGACAUACUGAAUAAAUGCCACAAAACUUCCAAAUAUGAUAAAAAGAAAUGUAUAGACAAACCUCAAGAUGUAUAUGUCAUUACUGGUUUUCCGUCCAUGUGGCCCAUGACAUGCGUGACCUGUACUCCACCAAAAAAAAUUGCUGUCAAUCCUAAAGAAUUUCAGAGUCCAGAUGGCAGUCUAAAUGUUUCUAAAGCUAAUGACUUCAUAAAUGACCUUGAUGAUAUGUUGGGGAUUGCAACCAGUGCCUCUAUAUCAGCUAAUGGGAUCAGUGGCUUCAUUCAGAAGUUAUUGAGCCCACAAAUGCUUACCAUUGGGUACUCUGAAGUCUCUAAUGAGAUGGAAGUAAGUCCUGAUGCAGAAGAACAAUUGGGUUUCUGGGUGACCAUGCCAGAGGAAGCUGUCUUUCAAUCCCAGUCUAAAAACAAUGGUACUGGAAUAGUUGCUGUUGUAAGGUUCAACAAUAUGCCUCUGGAUGAAAAAAAUAGCAGUCUUCUAAAAGGUGCAGUGUAUGCUAUUACAGUGUAUGCUCCUGUGAACAAUUUGUUGAAUGAAAUACAGCUUAACUUCAACAACGAAAUGAGAAAUAAUACCAGCAUUUAUUGUGUCUCGUGGCAGGGGGAUGGUAAUAAUCAGUCUGAAACGUGCUCAUAG
rnacentral:lncRNA from 1 species